GGUUCUGUAGUGUAGUGGUGAGCACGUCUGCUUUACACACAGAAGGUCCUGGGUUCACGCUCCAGUGGAGCCA
rfam:Pteropus alecto contig85152, whole genome shotgun sequence.